UUCAUAUAUGCCAAGUUCUAAUAUCAUUGUAUUUGUUCCUAUAUAAGGAGAAAGUUUAGGUAGAUUUUUAAUUGUAAGAUUUUGAUCUACAACAAAAGAGAUAAAGAGAGUUUAAGAAGUGAUAUGGGAGAGUAUGGUUAUGCAUACCGUAGCAUCUCGACUUACAGUACCAUAAGAAAUGGAAUACGUGAGCCUGCUGUUAUAAAACCAUUUGUUCCUUUCAAUCCCAAAAGUAAUAAUGGUAGUAAUUACUCAGAGGGUGCUGUUAACAGUAAAAAAAUUGUACCAGUUACUGGCAGGCCUUAUGAUGAGCCUGCAACAGAGAAAUAUCCCUCUUCAGAGGAUGAAUUUGAUGAUGAUGAAAGGCGUCGUCAAUUAAGCCCUGUUCAUAGCUCUCCGCGUAAAGUUGAUGUUCAGUUCCCAGCUAAGGUGCAGCAGAAUCAUGAAGGUAGCCAUGAUCCUCAAAGGUACGGGCCCAUUGUUGAUCGCGGUCGCCAUACACCACAGCCUAGUGCUGAUGGACGUAAGCCAAUUGGAGGUAGUACCGUUAACAACCAUAAUGAUAGUUAUGGUACUAAUUAUCCAUAUGGUGGUGACAGAGACGGACGCAAGCCAAUUGGAAUUAGUCCAAUUAAGAAUCGCAAAUAUGGUGGUGGUCCUAAUGGUUAUGGUGGUGCUCAUCGUGCAACAGCUAUAGGGGAUCCAAGUCCACAUAAAGACAGGCGUAAACCAAUUGGAGGUGGCAUAAUGAGUAGUGAUGAUGGCUAUAAUAAUGGAUAUGGUGGUGACAAAGAUGGACGCAGGCCGAUUGGAAUUAGUCCAGUAAAGAAUGAUAAAUAUGAUGGUACUAAUGGCUACGGCAGUGAUCACCGUGCAACACCUGUUGGGGAUCCAAAUCCCUACAAAGAAGGUCGUAAACCAAUUGGAGGUGGCAACCUAAGGAGUACUCAUGAUGGCUAUCAUGAUAACGGAUACGGUGGUGACAAAGGACACAAGCCAAUUGGAAUUAGUCCAACUAGGAGUAACAAUUAUGAUGGUCCUAAUGGGUUUGGCGGUGACCAUCGUGCAACAAGUGUGGGGGAUCCAAAUCCCUACCAAGAAGGCCGUAAACCAAUUGGAGGUGGCAACCUAAGGAGUACUCAUGAUGGCUAUCAUGAUAAUGGAUACGGUGGUGACAAAGAAGGACGCAAGCCAGUUGGAAUUAGUCCAACUGGGAAUAGCAAUUAUGAUGGUCCUAAUCGGUAUAGUGGUGACCAUCGUGCAACAAGUGUAGGAGAUCCAAAUCCCUACAAAGAAGGGCGUAAACCAAUCGGAGUAGUUAGCCUAAAGAGUACUCAUGAUGGCUACAAUAACGGUAAAGGAUAUGGUGGUGACACAGAAGUACGCAAGCCUAUUGGAAUUGGAAGUAAUAUUAAGAAUGACAACUAUGAUGGUCCUCAUAGGUAUGGUGGUGACCACCGUGCAGCAGCCGUUGGAGAUCCAAAUCCUUAUAAAGAAGGACGCAAACCAAUUGGAGUAGGUAGCAUAAGGAGUACUCAAGAUGGCUAUGAUAGCCCUAAUGGAUAUGGCAGUGACUACAACAAAAAAGAAGGAUACAAGCCCACUAGGAACGGCAACUAUGGUAACGGCUAUGGUAUUAGUAACCACAACGAUAAGCCGUUUGUAAGUAGUAGCAAUCCUAAAUAUGAUGAUGGUGAUAACGCUGCUAAUUAUUACAACAACAGAUCCAAUUUCAAUGGGCCAAAAAUUAAUUCAUAUUGGACUGCAGCACCAAGAAAAGGGACUCAAUUAAGCGAGCCAAUUCAUGACAUUGACAAGGCCAUGGAGUUGUUGAAGAUGGAAGCUGCAAAGCGUGAUCAACAACAUAGUCCAACUCCAGGUAAUGCCUCUCCUCGCUUUACUGACAGGACUGGUUCCGGUGCUGCCAUGAGGCCUUAUGGAAAUGUUAACCAGCUUCAGUCACGACCACGUGAUUCACAAACACGUGUCACGUUCAUUGAUGAUGCAAGUGAUUACGAUGAUGAUUAUUAUAGGAGGGAUGAUAGAGGACGUUAUGGAUUCCAUGAUGCAGUUAUUGACAGUAGGGAGGCUGAGAAGAAGUUCAAAGGCACCAGGGUCUGAAAAUUAAUUAGCUACCUUGCUAGAUAGUAUGAAUUAUAUGGAGUUAUUUUCCAUCAAUAAUAACACUUUUCACGUUUCAGGUCAUCAAGUUUUAGUUAUAUAUGAUUAUGGAACUAGUGUAUGGAACUAUGUAUCAUGGCAUAGGCACCUAUAUGGUUCCCUACCUUUCUGUACUGGUUAAAGAGUAAAAAAAUAUGUGGUGUGUAAGGGUUGAAUGAAUGAAUAAAUACGUGGAGUGUUUAUUAAGUAACGCCCCUUUUUCUUUUUCAAUUAGUGGCUGGUCAUUCAUGCCUACAUUAAAAUGGUUCCACUCUAAUCAGAAGUUAUAUACUUCCAAUUCUAGAGAAUAUCUUUCAGUCCAUUUUUUUAUGAUUAUGUGCUGCAAGAUGUUAUGUUCAUUAUCAAUGUAUAUAAUACUUAUCAAACGUUGUAGGGAAAAUUUAGAAAAUGAGCUCGCAUUUAAAUUAGUUGAGAAAACAAUCUUACAGUAAUGGUUAUGAGUUGACAACAAAUAUACAUGUGACAAUUUCAUUGAUGCAUAAAACAAAGUUAUUAAAUAUGUAAAUGAUCC
rnacentral:lncRNA from 1 species